rnacentral:misc_RNA from 1 species
CAACCCUCAAGCAACACUCUGCUUGGUGUUGGGGGCCGGCCGUAGAAGGCCACCCCCUAAAUACAUUGGCGACCUCGCUGUAGCUUCCUAUGCGUAGUAGUAACAUCUCGCAUCUGGAGAGCGGCGCUGUCAAGCCGUAAAACACCCCACUUCUCAA